GGGCACGUGGCGGAAUUGGUAUACGCGCUACGUUCAGGGCGUAGUCCCCGCAAGGGGUUGGGAGUUCGACUCUCCCCGUGCCCA
rnacentral:tRNA from 1 species